rnacentral:rRNA from 1 species
GAUGAACGCUGGCGGCGUGCCUAAUACAUGCAAGUCGAGCGAACAGACGAGGAGCUUGCUCCUCUGACGUUAGCGGCGGACGGGUGAGUAACACGUGGAUAACAUACCUAUAAGACUGGGAUAACUUCGGGAAACCGGAGCUAAUACCGGAUAAUAUAUUGAACCGCAUGGUUCAAUAGUGAAAGACGGUUUUGCUGUCACUUAUAGAUGGAUCCGCGCCGCAUUAGCUAGUUGGUAAGGUAACGGCUUACCAAGGCAACGAUGCGUAGCCGACCUGAGAGGGUGAUCGGCCACACUGGAACUGAGACACGGUCCAGACUCCUACGGGAGGCAGCAGUAGGGAAUCUUCCGCAAUGGGCGAAAGCUUGACGGAGCAACGCCGCGUGAGUGCUGAAGGUCUUCGGAUCGUAAAGCUCUGUUAUUAGGGAAGAACAAAUGUGUAAGUAACUAUGCACGUCUUGACGGUACCUAAUCAGAAAGCCACGGCUAACUACGUG